AAUAAACAAAUUUCUGAGUUUUAGAUAGAAUUUUUGACUAUUUGUCUUAUUUGAAAAAUUUUUAUGAUUAAUAUUUUUAUUAUUAUUACACGAUAAAAUAUGAAUAGUACUUUACAUAUGACUAAUUUUUUAAAAUUUUUAAUAUUUUUUUCAAAUAAGACAGAUGGUCAAACUCUUCAUACACAAAACUCAGA
rnacentral:pre_miRNA from 1 species